GUGCUCACUUCGGCAGCACAUAUACUAAAAUUGGAAGUAGACAGAGAAGAUUAGCAUGGCCCCUGCACAAGGAUGACACACAAAUUUGUGAAGUGUUCCAUAUUUUU
rnacentral:snRNA from 1 species